UUGCCUCAGUAACGGCGAGUGAAGCGGCAACAGCUCAAAUUUGAAAUCUGGCCCUCUCGGGGUCCGAGUUGUAAUUUGUAGAGGGUGCUUCGGGCGCGAUGCCGGUCUAAGUUCCUUGGAACAGGACGUCGUAGAGGGUGAGAAUCCCGUAUGCGACCGGCGAUCAAGCCCGUGCGAAGCCCCUUCGACGAGUCGAGUUGUUUGGGAAUGCAGCUCAAAAUGGGUGGUAAAUUUCAUCUAAAGCUAAAUACCGGCCAGAGACCGAUAGCGGACAAGUAGAGUGAUCGAAAGAUGAAAAGCACUUUGGAAAGAGAGUCAAACAGUACGUGAAAUUGUUGAAAGGGAAGCGCUUGCAAUCAGACCGGUCCGGAGGCGAUCAGCCGCUGCUCGUCAGCGGUGCACUCGCCUGCGAUCCGGCCAGCAUCGGUUUGGGCGGCGGGAUAAAAGUCCCGGGAAUGUAGCUUCUCCCGGGGAGUCUUAUAGCCCGGGUCGCAAUGCCGCCCGCCCGGACCGAGGACCGCGCUUCGGCUAGGAUGCUGGCGUAAUGGUUGCAAGCGACCCGUCUUGAAACACGGACCAAGGAGUCUAACAUCCAUGCGAGUGUUUGGGUGUCAAACCCAGGCGCGGAAUGAAAGUGAACGGAGGUGGGAACCCGUCAGACGGCGCACCAUCGACCGAUCCAGAUGUCUUCGGAUGGAUUUGAGUAUGAGCAUGGCUGUUGGGACCCGAAAGAUGGUGAACUAUGCCCGGAUAGGGUGAAGCCAGAGGAAACUCUGGUGGAGGCUCGCAGCGGUUCUGACGUGCAAAUCGAUCGUCAAAUCUAGGCAUAGGGGCGAAAGACCAAUCGAACCAUCUAGUAGCUGGUUCCUGUCGAAGUUUCCCUCAGGAUAGCAGUAACGUUUUCAGUUUUAUGAGGUAAAGCGAAUGAUUAGAGGCCUUGGGGCUGAAACAGCCUUAACCUAUUCUCAAACUUUAAAUAUGUAAGAAGUCCUUGUUACUUAGUUGAACGUGGACAUUUGAAUG
rnacentral:rRNA from 1 species